rnacentral:rRNA from 1 species
UGAUCCUGCCAGUAGUCAUAUGCUUGUCUUGCAGAUUAAGCCAUGCAUGUGUGCGUAUAAGUGUGUUAUUGCAAAACUGCGGAUGGCUCAUUAAAUCAGUUAUUGAUCGGCGAGUCGUUAUGGCAGAUAUUCGUGGCAAUUCUACGACUAAUACGAGUGCGUAUAAUGGCGCGGCAUAUCUGAUGAAACCGUUGUAAGCGUUUCGGCGCUUUGCAGACGUGUGUAUGCAGCAAUCGUUUAUUACGAAUGACUCUCGAUGUUUCUGCCCCAUCAGGUUUCGACGGUUAGGUAUUGGCCAACCGUGCCACUCACGGGUAACGGGGAAUUAGGGUUUGAUUCCGGAGAAGGAGCAUGCGAGUUUGCUACUACAUCUAAGGACGGCAGCAGGCGCGUAAAUUACCGAUCCUUGACUCAGGGAGGUAGUAAAUAGAAAUAGUGACGCAGGCAAUCGUGUUUGCGAUCAGAAUGAGCAAAAGGUAAAUAUCUUUGCGAAAUCAAUUGGAGGGCAAGUC